AGAGUUUGAUCAUGGCUCAGAUUGAACGCUGGCGGCAGGCCUAACACAUGCAAGUCGAACGGUAACAGAAAGCAGCUUGCUGCUUUGCUGACGAGUGGCGGACGGGUGAGUAAUGUCUGGGAAACUGCCUGAUGGAGGGGGAUAACUACUGGAAACGGUAGCUAAUACCGCAUAACGUCGCAAGACCAAAGAGGGGGACCUUCGGGCCUCUUGCCAUCGGAUGUGCCCAGAUGGGAUUAGCUUGUUGGUGGGGUAACGGCUCACCAAGGCGACGAUCCCUAGCUGGUCUGAGAGGAUGACCAGCCACACUGGAACUGAGACACGGUCCAGACUCCUACGGGAGGCAGCAGUGGGGAAUAUUGCACAAUGGGCGCAAGCCUGAUGCAGCCAUGCCGCGUGUAUGAAGAAGGCCUUCGGGUUGUAAAGUACUUUCAGCGGGGAGGAAGGGAGUAAAGUUAAUACCUUUGCUCAUUGACGUUACCCGCAGAAGAAGCACCGGCUAACUCCGUGCCAGCAGCCGCGGUAAUACGGAGGGUGCAAGCGUUAAUCGGAAUUACUGGGCGUAAAGCGCACGCAGGCGGUUUGUUUAAGUCAGAUGUGAAAUCCCCGGGCUCAACCUGGGAACUGCAUCUGAUACUGGCAAGCUUGAGUCUCGUAGAGGGGGGUAGAAUUCCAGGUGUAGCGGUGAAAUGCGUAGAGAUCUGGAGGAAUACCGGUGGCGAAGGCGGCCCCCUGGACGAAGACUGACGCUCAGGUGCGAAAGCGUGGGGAGCAAACAGGAUUAGAUACCCUGGUAGUCCACGCCGUAAACGAUGUCGACUUGGAGGUUGUGCCCUUGAGGCGUGGCUUCCGGAGCUAACGCGUUAAGUCGACCGCCUGGGGAGUACGGCCGCAAGGUUAAAACUCAAAUGAAUUGACGGGGGCCCGCACAAGCGGUGGAGCAUGUGGUUUAAUUCGAUGCAACGCGAAGAACCUUACCUGGUCUUGACAUCCACGGAAGUUUUCAGAGAUGAGAAUGUGCCUUCGGGAACCGUGAGACAGGUGCUGCAUGGCUGUCGUCAGCUCGUGUUGUGAAAUGUUGGGUUAAGUCCCGCAACGAGCGCAACCCUUAUCCUUUGUUGCCAGCGGUCCGGCCGGGAACUCAAAGGAGACUGCCAGUGAUAAACUGGAGGAAGGUGGGGAUGACGUCAAGUCAUCAUGGCCCUUACGACCAGGGCUACACACGUGCUACAAUGGCGCAUACAAAGAGAAGCGACCUCGCGAGAGCAAGCGGACCUCAUAAAGUGCGUCGUAGUCCGGAUUGGAGUCUGCAACUCGACUCCAUGAAGUCGGAAUCGCUAGUAAUCGUGGAUCAGAAUGCCACGGUGAAUACGUUCCCGGGCCUUGUACACACCGCCCGUCACACCAUGGGAGUGGGUUGCAAAAGAAGUAGGUAGCUUAACCUUCGGGAAGGGCGCUUACCACUUUGUGAUUCAUGACUGGGGUGAAGUCGUAACAAGGUAACCGUAGGGGAACCUGCGGUUGGAUCACCU
rnacentral:rRNA from 1 species